GUCCGGGCUGCUGUGCUGGCAGCAGUAGGCGAGGGCGCGGCUGCGGGGUUCCUGGUGCUGAGGACGGACGCCAUUGGAGCCCCCGAGAAGCUGCUUCACCCUCCCUCUCAGGCUGAGCUCUCAUCUCCCUGGGACCCGCAGCAUGGCUGAGGGAAGCUUCAGCGUGCAAUCGGAAAACUACAGUGUUGAAGACAUGGAUGAGGGUAGCGACGAAGUCGGGGAGGAAGAGAUGGUUGAAGGCAACGACUAUGAAGAAUUCGGUGCGUUUGGUGGCUAUGGCACCCUCACCAGCUUUGACAUCCAUAUCCUCAGAGCCUUCGGAAGCUUGGGUCCAGGCCUUCGCAUCUUAUCGAAUGAGCCCUGGGAACUGGAAAACCCUGUGCUGGCCCAGACCCUGGUGGAGGCAUUGCAGCUGGAUCCGGAAACACUUGCCAAUGAGACGGCCGCCCGUGCUGCCAACGUAGCCCGCGCCGCCGCCUCCAACCGUGCGGCUCGGGCCGCUGCCGCCGCUGCCCGUACCGCCUUCAGUCAGGUGGUCGCUAGCCACCGGGUGGCCACGCCGCAGGUCUCAGGAGAGGAUACCCAGCCCACGACCUACGCCGCCGAGGCUCAGGGGCCCACCCCUGAGCCACCCCUUGCUUCUCCGCAGACCUCCCAGAUGUUAGUCACCAGUAAGAUGGCUGCCCCCGAGGCUCCGGCAACCUCCGCACAGUCCCAGACAGGCUCCCCGGCCCAGGAGGCUGCUACUGAGGGCCCUAGUAGCGCCUGUGCUUUCUCUCAGGCUCCGUGUGCCAGGGAGGUGGACGCCAACCGGCCCAGCACAGCCUUCCUGGGCCAGAAUGAUGUCUUUGAUUUCACUCAGCCGGCAGGUGUCAGUGGCAUGGCCUUCCCGCGCCCCAAGAGACCUGCCCCAGCCCAAGAGGCUGCCACAGAGGGCCCCAGUGCUGCCUCUGGUGUGCCCCAGACGGGACCUGGCAGGGAGGUGGCAGCCACCCGGCCCAAGACCACCAAGUCGGGGAAGGCGCUGGCCAAGACUCGGUGGGUGGAGCCUCAGAAUGUUGUGGCAGCAGCUGCUGCCAAGGCCAAGAUGGCCACGAGCAUCCCUGAGCCGGAGGGUGCAGCUGCUGCCACUGCUCAGCACAGUGCUGAGCCCUGGGCCAGGAUGGGAGGCAAGAGGACCAAGAAGUCCAAGCACCUGGAUGAUGAGUAUGAGAGCAGCGAGGAGGAGAGAGAGACUCCCGCGGUCCCACCCACCUGGAGAGCAUCACAGCCCUCAUUGACGGUGCGGGCUCAGUUGGCCCCUCGGCCCCCGAUGGGCCCGAGGUCCCAGAUACCCUCAAGGCACGUACUGUGCCUGCCCCCCCGCAACGUGACCCUUCUGCAGGAGAGGGCAAAUAAGUUGGUGAAAUACCUGAUGAUUAAGGACUACAAGAAGAUCCCCAUCAAGCGCGCAGACAUGCUGAAGGAUGUCAUCAGAGAAUAUGAUGAACAUUUCCCUGAGAUCAUUGAACGAGCAACGUACACCCUGGAAAAGAAGUUUGGGAUCCACCUGAAGGAGAUCGACAAGGAAGAACACCUGUAUAUUCUUGUCUGCACACGGGACUCCUCAGCUCGCCUCCUUGGAAAAACCAAGGACACUCCCAGGCUGAGUCUCCUCUUGGUGAUUCUGGGCGUCAUCUUCAUGAAUGGCAACCGUGCCAGCGAGGCUGUCCUCUGGGAGGCACUACGCAAGAUGGGACUGCGCCCUGGGGUGAGGCACCCAUUCCUCGGCGAUCUGAGGAAGCUCAUCACAGAUGACUUUGUGAAGCAGAAGAACCCGGAGCUCAGAGAGGAGACGCCUCUGAGCAUGGCUCCCAGCUGGUACCUGGAAUACAAGAAGAUCCCCAACAGCAACCCACCUGAGUAUGAAUUCCUCUGGGGCCUGCGAGCCCGCCAUGAGACCAGCAAGAUGAGGGUCCUGAGAUUCAUCGCCCAGAAUCAGAACCGAGAUCCCCGGGAAUGGAAGGCUCAUUUCUUGGAGGCUGUGGAUGAUGCUUUCAAGACAAUGGAUGUGGAUAUGGCCGAGGAACAUGCCAGGGCCCAGAUGAGGGCCCAGAUGAAUAUCGGGGAUGAAGCGCUGAUUGGACGGUGGAGCUGGGAUGACAUACAAGUCGAGCUCCUGACCUGGGAUGAGGACGGAGAUUUUGGCGAUGCCUGGGCCAGGAUCCCCUUUGCUUUCUGGGCCAGAUACCAUCAGUACAUUCUGAAUAGCAACCGUGCCAACAGGAGGGCCACGUGGAGAGCUGGCGUCAGCAGUGGCACCAAUGGAGGGGCCAGCACCAGCGUCCUAGAUGGCCCCAGCACCAGCUCCACCAUCCGGACCAGAAAUGCUGCCAGAGCUGGCGCCAGCUUCUUCUCCUGGAUCCAGCACCGUUGACGAACUGCAGCGAUCUUACUGGCCAAGCCAGAGCGCCUCCUCUCAGAUUCCUUCUCGACACAGCACCCUAGGCGGCUUCUUCCUGUCAGUCGGAGGUGGCAUGCAAGAUGAAGCUCUCUUUGCUCUUCCUGCUUUCAUUUUGUGCUUUUCCUUGUGCUUUCAUGUUUUGGGUAUCAGUGUUACAUUAAAGUUGCAAAAUUAA
rnacentral:sRNA from 1 species